UACGUAGGGUGCGAGCGUUGUCCGGAAUUACUGGGCGUAAAGAGCUCGUAGGUGGUUUGUCGCGUCGUCUGUGAAAUUCCGGGGCUUAACCUAGGGCGUGCAGGCGAUACGGGCAAUACUUGAGUGCUGUAGGGGAGACUGGAAUUCCUGGUGUAGCGGUGGAAUGCGCAGAUAUCAGGAGGAACACCGAUGGCGAAGGCAGGUCUCUGGGCAGUAACUGACGCUGAGGAGCGAAAGCAUGGGUAGCGAACAGGAUUAGA
rnacentral:rRNA from 1 species